CAGAUAAAGAUAAUAAAAAU
rnacentral:sRNA from 1 species